rnacentral:tRNA from 1 species
GGGCGACUGGUUUCGUGAUAUAAUGACCGCUUAGCAUGAUCCAUGGCCAAGGUAGGUCGAGGGUUCGAUUCCCUCAUCGUCCA